rnacentral:rRNA from 1 species
GAUGAACGCUGGCGGCGUGCUUAACACAUGCAAGUCGAACGCACCUUCGGGUGAGUGGCGGACGGGUGAGUAACGCGUGGGAAUCUGCCCUCAGGAGGGGGAUAACGGCUGGAAACGGCCGCUAAUACCCCAUAUGCCGAGAGGUGAAAUGAAUUUCGCCUGAGGAUGAGCCCGCGUCUGAUUAGCUAGUUGGUGUGGUAAUGGCGCACCAAGGCUUCGAUCAGUAGCUGGUCUGAGAGGAUGAUCAGCCACACUGGGACUGAGACACGGCCCAGACUCCUACGGGAGGCAGCAGUGGGGAAUUUUCCGCAAUGGGCGAAAGCCUGACGGAGCAACGCCGCGUGAGGGAUGAAGGCCUCUGGGCUGUAAACCUCUUUUCUCAAGGAAGAAGAUCUGACGGUACUUGAGGAAUAAGCCACGGCUAAUUCCGUGCCAGCAGCCGCGGUAAUACGGGAGUGGCAAGCGUUAUCCGGAAUUAUUGGGCGUAAAGCGUCCGCAGGCGGCCUUGUAAGUCUGUCGUUAAAGCGUGGAGCUUAACUCCAUUUCAGCGAUGGAAACUACAAGGCUUGAGUGUGGUAGGGGCAGAGGGAAUUCCCGGUGUAGCGGUGAAAUGCGUAGAUAUCGGGAAGAACACCAGUGGCGAAGGCGCUCUGCUGGGCCAUAACUGACGCUCAUGGACGAAAGCCAGGGGAGCGAAAGGGAUUAGAUACCCCUGUAGUCCUGGCCGUAAACGAUGAACACUAGGUGUCGGGGGAAUCGACCCCCUCGGUGUCGUAGCCAACGCGUUAAGUGUUCCGCCUGGGGAGUACGCACGCAAGUGUGAAACUCAAAGGAAUUGACGGGGGCCCGCACAAGCGGUGGAGUAUGUGGUUUAAUUCGAUGCAACGCGAAGAACCUUACCAGGGUUUGACAUCCUGCGAAUCCCUUGGAAACGAGGGAGUGCCUUCGGGAGCGCAGUGACAGGUGGUGCAUGGCUGUCGUCAGCUCGUGUCGUGAGAUGUUGGGUUAAGUCCCGCAACGAGCGCAACCCACGUCGUUAGUUGCCAGCAUUCAGUUGGGCACUCUAGCGAGACCGCCGGUGAUAAACCGGAGGAAGGUGUGGAUGACGUCAAGUCAUCAUGCCCCUUACAUCCUGGGCUACACACGUACUACAAUGCUACGGACAAAGGGCAGCAAGCUCGCGAGAGUUAGCAAAUCCCAUAAACCGUGGCUCAGUUCAGAUCGUAGGCUGCAACUCGCCUACGUGAAGGAGGAAUCGCUAGUAAUCGCAGGUCAGCAUACUGCGGUGAAUACGUUCCCGGGCCUUGUACACACCGCCCGUCACACCAUGGAAGUUGGCCACGCCCGAAGUCGUUACUCCAACCCGUAAGGGAGGAGGAUGCCGAAGGUGGGGCUGAUGACUGGGGUGAAGUCGU